AACUAUUUAAUUUAAGUAAAUAGAAAAUAUAAUUUUACAUUAUAAAGUGAUUGAACAAUUAUGUAUUUGUUGCAUUAAAAGAAGAAAAAAUAUGGCUAAUGUUAUCAAGUUUAUUUAUACUAUGAUCUUGUUUGUUUCUUUAAUUCUUGCUGUAACCUACGGCGGUAAGACAUUUUCCUCAUACUCUUAAAAUUUUCCUCUUUAACUUAUACACAAUCUUUCACACCUUUUCACUAACAUUUAUGUAUUUUUGCUUUGAAUCAUAGAUCCUUCUUGUACUCACGACUACGAUUGUCCAUUUAUUGAAUGCCCCACUCAUCAUAUGAAGUG
rnacentral:lncRNA from 1 species